GUGGGGAAUUUUGGACAAUGGGCGAAAGCCUGAUCCAGCAAUGCCGCGUGUGUGAAGAAGGCCUUCGGGUUGUAAAGCACUUUUGGCAGGGAAGAAACAGUGCGUGCUAAUACCAUGCGCGAAUGACGGUACCUGCAGAAUAAGCACCGGCUAACUACGUGCCAGCAGCCGCGGUAAUACGUAGGGUGCAAGCGUUAAUCGGAAUUACUGGGCGUAAAGCGUGCGCAGGCGGCUUUGUGAGACGGAUGUGAAAGCCCCGGGCUCAACCUGGGAAGUGCAUUCGUGACUGCAAGGCUAGAGUGUGUCAGAGGGAGGUGGAAUUCCGCGUGUAGCAGUGAAAUGCGUAGAGAUGCGGAGGAACACCGAUGGCGAAGGCAGCCUCCUGGGAUAACACUGACGCUCAGGCACGAAAGCGUGGGGAGCAAACAGGAUUAGAAACCCCGGUAGUCC
rnacentral:rRNA from 1 species